AGACGUAGGGCGCGAGCGUUGUCCGGAUUUAUUGGGCGUAAAGAGCUCGUAGGCGGCUUGUCGCGUCGACCGUGAAAACUCGCAGCUCAACUGCGAGCCUGCGGUCGAUACGGGCAGGCUAGAGUUCGGUAGGGGAGACUGGAAUUCCUGGUGUAGCGGUGAAAUGCGCAGAUAUCAGGAGGAACACCGAUGGCGAAGGCAGGUCUCUGGGCCGAUACUGACGCUGAGGAGCGAAAGCGUGGGGAGCGAACAG
rnacentral:rRNA from 1 species